UUUUAUAAUAAUACUAAGCAUUCACACAUCCGCAUACUCAUGCGGAUAUCUGUUGCAGCGUCUUGCAAAGCUUCCUGUUGCAUACGGCAGGAUGUUCCUUUCGCCUGCCAAUUAUCUCACCUCACCAGCACGGUAACAACGUUGUUCAAUGAACAGCUAAAUUAAAGCUUGCGUAGCGCUACGGAGUAAGAAACCUGCAUUUUUCUUGUAAGCCGUCUGAUUCGGCGCCAAACCAAGCUCCCCGUCGGUCUGUCCGUUGUGCACAGUAUCUUGCGACCUGGAACUACCUCAACAAACGGCUCUGAAUUUGAUCUUCCAAAUGUUUCUUACAUACAUGAAGGCUGAAAGCAUCGUACCUGGGGACUUCGUGGAGCCCUGAUAGCUGACUAGGGCUGACAUACCCAGGUGGGCGUUCGCUGCGUUCGCUAGCUUUGGGACAUUACCUCCAGAAUAACUCUCGUCUAACGACGGAGCCUUUGAUUCACGUACCUACGGAUGCGCGGAUUACCAACUAGGUGGUGAAACCCAUCGCUCUUUCUAGGGUAUAUCGGGAGCAUGCGCGGUAUGUGGGCGUCCGUGCACGGGCGCGCUCGCCUUCUCAGCGGUACGCGUGCGUGCAUCAAUGCCAGCAGUUCGCCUGUAUGUGCCUUUAGCUCUACACACGAAUGGAACACGUUGUUGGAGCGCCUUGAGGAUGAUCAUCCUACUUUGCUAGGCGUAUACACGGGACGCAGUGACGUGGCAGAUCCCCCAAAGGGAUGAUGAGGGAGGAAGAGGGAAGAUGUCGCCUAAUAUAGCAGUGAUAACGGCGCAUCGCCUGCAGGCAGUCACGCAAGGAGGUGCACGCGCCAUGGGACCAACCAGCAGAAUCAAUCAGUACAGAUCACAUGUGUACAUUUGGUUGUUGAGGACAUUUACGAAAACUAACGUAGAGUAUAUGGCGGGUGCAAAUCGUCUUCACCGCACCCGCCAAUCAUCUUCUGCGCACCGUUCAUUUAGAAGGAUUUAAUACUCAAGAUCUUUCAGAUGAUAUCACCUCGGCGGUUCCACGCUCGACGUUGAUGUUGAUGUAACGGACGUGGACCGGCAGGAGGACCCCAGAAAUGGAAAAGAUGCGAAGCAAAUAAGGAAAUUACUGCCGGUUGUAUGGCAGUUGCUUCUCCAACCGUUGACAACAGCAGCUGAUAGCUAGUCAAAAGCGAAGGCUCACGGAAAGAUGAGCACGGGCAAAUUAGCGAAUAGCCCGACAACAAGCACGAGCAUGGUUCGAGCCGGGCCGGUAGAGAGACAUGCAUGCAAAGGUAGGUGGAUUGAAACAUGCAUGUAUAUACGUAGGAAGGAGCACAUAAGUCGUUACGUCUGAAUUGGGUUUCGCUUGUCAGUUCGAAUGCGCUGUCGUGAAUUGAGAACACCGCCGCUGAUGUACGGGAACGACUACUUUGCCGGCAUCAGCACAUCUUAAGUUA
rnacentral:lncRNA from 1 species